CCCUUAGAUGUUCUGGGCCGCACGCGCGCUACACUGACGAAUGCAACGAGCUUAUAACCUUGGCCGAAAGGUCUGGGUAAUCUCCAAAUUUCGUCGUGAUGGGGAUAGAUUAUUGCAAUUAUUAAUCUUCAACGAGGAAUGCCUAGUAAGCGCAAGUCAUCAGCUUGCGUUGAUUACGUCCCUGCCCUUUGUACACACCGCUCGUCGCUCCUACCGAUUGAAUGGUCCGGUGAAGCGUUCGGACCGUGGCCUUUGGACGGUUCGCCGUCUGUUGGCUGCGGGAAGUUCGUUAAACCUUAUCAUUUAGAGGAAGGAGAAGUCGUANCA
rnacentral:rRNA from 1 species